GCCAUGUCUCGCUGUCGAGAACACCAACGUUGUCGUGCUCUGAAAAGAUCAUGUUUAUUCUAGGAAUGGGAUUCGUCGGGCAAUCGCUUGCACGCAAGCUCCACAACCAAGGAUGGGUGGUGUCUGGGACUUGCACAACCCUUGUGAAGAAGAAGCAGCUUCAGGACAUGGGAUUUCAUGUUCACCUUUUUUAUGCAAACCACCCCGAGUGAGUGAGUCAAUCGGUGGUAAUUUAGCAUACUGAGUAUCCUACGAGUACUAAAAAAUUACACUCACUUUCUUGUUUCUGUCCACCUAUUGUGGACAUUGGUGAUCCGACGCUGCAGCAUGAAGAACUUAUAAGAAGCUCGUUAGUCAAUGGAGAUCUUCAGUAGCUCUGUUACUUUUCUUCAACUAGGUUUUAAUGGGGCUGAUCUUCGAAAUGUCUGCACGGAAGCUGGAAUGGCAGCAAUUCGUGCAGAACGUGACUACGUGAUCCAUGAAGAUUUUAUGAAGGCUGUUCGAAAACUGAACGAGGCAAAGAAACUUGAAUCCAGUGCUCACUACAGUGCUGAUUUUGGGAAAGACUAAAAGCUAUUGUGAAAUUUUUCCAGAGCCAUGGAUAUCGAGGCAGUGCAUCUUUUAGAUUCAGAAAUAAUUUAUACUAUUUGAUCAACUCAGACCUAAGAAUGUAAUGGUCCCUUUGGGCUAUGCCUUGUUUAAUAUCUGAAUUAUGCAGUUGGAUGGAGAACUUAUCAACCAAACUACGGUGAAGCAAAAGAUGUUUAGUCGAGUUGUUUGUCUAAACUCAUUUGUAAUGGUUUUUUUGUUUCCUUUUGGAUUACGUUUUACAUAAUUCAUAUUACUUAUCUUUGAAUUGGGUCUAGACUUUGUACUUC